AUUGAACGCUGGCGGCAAGCCUAACACAUGCAAGUCGAACGAGUGGCGGACGGGUGAGAAAUGUCUGGGAAACUGCCUGAUGGAGGGGGAUAACUACUGGAACCGGUAGCUAAUACCGUAUACCCUCGGAUGUGCCCAGAUGGGAUUAGCGAGUAAGUGGGGACAAGGACCACCAAGGAGACGAUCCCUAGCUGGUCUGAGAGGAUGAACAGACACACUGGAACUGAGACACGGUCCAGACUCCUACGGGAGGCAGCAGUGGGGAAUAUGGCACAAUGGGCGAAAGCCGGAUGCAGCCAUGCCGCGUGUAUGAAGAAGGCCUUCGGGUUGUAAAGUACUUUCAGCGGGGAGGCGUUACCCGCAGAAGAAGCACCGGCUAACUCCGUGCCAGCAGCCGCGGUAAUUC
rnacentral:rRNA from 1 species